GCCGCGGUCGCCUAGCUGGCUAGGGCGGCGGGUUGCUAACCCGCUGGCGCAUACGCGCCUCCCGGGUUCGAGUCCCGGCCGCGGCG
rnacentral:tRNA from 2 species